rnacentral:ncRNA from 1 species
CAACGAUAAUGGCAAACCGUCUGAAAGGGUGGGACGCAAAGCCACAGGAUCUAAAGUAGAUUUUUCUACUAUGAUAGCCGAGCUACCGAA